rnacentral:lncRNA from 1 species
AUUGCAAAGGCAUGUCAUUAAGUUGUGUUGCUGGAGCUAUGUGGGACGGAAGCUUAUAAAACCCUUCUUGGUUGGGGCUUGGAUUCGGUCGACGAUGCACGUUUCUUUCGGUAAUCCUUAAACUCUUCGCACCCAGCGGUGGGGGCAGCUGUUUCAUUCGGUGUUUCGGCAAUGCUUGACGGGCAUAACAUGCUUGUUGGGGGUUGUAGUUCGCUGAUUGGAUUGUUGCUCAUUGUACGUGGUGGUGCAUGAGUCGUAUCACGAUCGUUUGGGUAGGCAGGCUCCGUGCUCGCGCAUCGAAUUGCUUCCCCGCGAUCCUUUCAGUCCUAGCCCAGUG